UUUCAUACAUAUAUGAUUUAUGAACUUAAUGAAGAUAAAAUUUGGUAACAUGGAAAGUUAGGAUAUAUUAGUUACUCCAAACUAUCUGUGAAAUUAAAUAAAAAUAAAUUCCCCUUAAAUCAUCCAAAACCAAACACCAAAAAAUCAUUUUUCAGAUAUCCUAAAAGCAGGCUUGUGACUCCGAACUUCUUAGUAGCAACUGAAGAAUCUUUACUUCCUUUGGAAAUGAUGAGUAACAUCAUCUUCUCUUCUUCAUCUUCUUUUCCAGAUUUCUUCACUUAUUUUUUCCUCUUCUUUACAUGUCAAAAUCUGCAGAAUUCAUUAGACAUGAAAAUAACAAUGAAUAAUUAAAUAGACAAAAAGAUCGAAUAGAAAAGAAAUACAAUCACAAAAUGAUUAAAAUCCAUGCUUCUUGAAGUCACUAAUAUAAUCAAAAGAUAAAGCUCAUAUAACAAAGCUCAAAAUGAUUAAUGACUGUAAAUUUAUCAUUAAACCAUUAAAAAUAAAGUUGACUACUUGGGUCUUGUAGAAAAUAAAUACUUACCUGAAUUGAUUUUUUAAUAUUUUCAUAAUCUAUAUAUCAAAAUAGCAAACGAUAAGUGUGAAUUUAAAUGUUAAACGAAAGACUGAAAAAUGAACAUGUAUCUUCCUGAAACCACAAAUUCUAUAUGAAUAUAGCCUCUUAACAAAAAACACUAGGAAUUAGGAAAGAAAGAAAACUUUAAUCAAAUCAUUAUUAGACCCGACAAAUAACAUGUAAAUAACUGAAAAAUGAACAUGCAUCUUCCUGAAAUCAUAAAUUUUAUAUGAAUAUAUAGCUUCUUAAUACAACACACUAUGAAUUAGGAAGAUUUUUUUUUUGAUCAAAUCAGUAAUAGACCCUACGAUUAGAAAGAAGCAGGGAGUGAAUAUUUACAUGUGAGUAUUUACACUGAAAAAUGAACAUAGCAGAAAAAUGAACAUGCAUCUUCCUGAAAUCACAAAUUCUACAUGAAUAUAGCUUCUUAUCAAAAAACACUAGGAAUUAGGAAAGAAAGAAAAUUUUAAUCAUAUCAUUAUUAGACCCGACAAAUAACAUGUAAAUAACUGAAAAAUGAACAUGCAUCUUCCUGAAAUCAUAAAUUCUAUAUGAAUAUAGACUAUAGUUUCUUAAUACAACACACUAUGAAUUAUGAAGAAAAAAAAGUUUGAUCAAAUCAGUAAUACACCCUACGAAUAGAAAGAAGCAGGAAAUGAGUAUUUACAUGUGUAAUGAAACACUGAAAAAUGAACAUAGCAGAAAAAUAAACAUCCAUCUUCAUGAAAUCACAAAUUCUAUAUGAAUAUAGCUUCUUAACAAAACACACUAGGAAUUAGGAAAGAAAAAAAAAACUUUGAUCAAAUCAUUAUUAAACCAGAAGAAAAACGAACAGUAAGUGAAUAUUUAAAUGUUAAAUGAAUAUGGUUUAAAAAUGAACAUUCAUAAAAAUAAAAAAUCGUGGACCGAAUUUCUAAACGAAGCAAACGAAUAGAUAUAAAAAUGCAUUCCAGAUUUCCAGAUCUACACCCUAAGCAUGGCUAUCGUAUGAUGAAUAAAAUAAAAAAUUUUACCUUUGCGUCUGCCUAUCGAUAGCGUCCUACCAGUUUCGUCUCUUUCUCAACAUUGCUGCCACUGCUGGAGUAUUUUGGGGAAGGUUUUAAGAAGUGUGAAAAAUGUAAGAAGUAAUAACCAGUGGGUGUUAUAUAUUAGGGUUUAGAAUUGGGCUGGGCUGGGUUUAUCUUUUUGACUUUCAUAGGUGAUCUGGUCUCUAAAAAUCUACCAUUUGAAUACACUUACCUGACGAUUAGUUCUUUGGCAUUCUACAAUUUCUCUCCUUCCAUAUA
rnacentral:lncRNA from 1 species